rnacentral:rRNA from 1 species
AUGGUGUGGUCAAGGAGGCGCUCCGCCUGUGCUGUGCCUGCAAGCCUCCUCUCUUUGCUCCUGGUUUGGAGCACAGAUGGAUCACCACCGGUAGCACCAGCGCUGGCGGCGGUGCCGGUGCCGGUGGGCGUGGUGCUGAACCUGGCGAGCGCCAUGGACAGGAGGAGCCUCACCUGCAUUUCAAUAGCCCUCGACGACUUCUACCUCAAGCACCCGAGCUACACCACACGGGUCGAGCUGCGCGUGAGUGAUUCGCGCGGAGACCCCGUCGCGGCUGCUGCCGAGGAGCUCAUGAACAAGAACAAGAAUGAUGAGGUGAAAGCGAUCAUCACGCCUCAGACAUCAGCCGAGGUGGAGUUAUUCACCAGUCUCACGAGAAGCAGCAACACCCCGGUCCUUUUCCUCUCCACCACCGCGCCGGCAUUUAGUUCGCCGCAGUCACGUCUCUUUGUGCGCACCGCACCCGACAUGAGCUCCCAGGCGGCGCCUAUUGCCGCCAUCUUCGAGGAGUUCGGCUGGCGCGCAGCCAUCCUGCUCCACGAGGACUCGCCCUAUGGCAUCGGCAUUCUCUCGGCGCUGGUCCACGCAUUCCAAGGAUCACGCAGCCUGACGGACAGCGUGGCCGUGCCCAUUGACGCGACGAACAGCAGCCUCGACGCGGCGCUUCGUGGCAUCAGGGCCAUGCCGACACGGGUGUACAUCGUGCACAUGCUCCCCGCCCUGGCCACGCGCCUCUUCCGCCGGGCCAUGGUCGCCGGCAUGAUGUCGGAGGGGUACGUCUGGAUUGCGACCGCCGGCGUUGGGGACGUGGCGGACUGCCUCCCCAACCACGGGGACAUCGAGAGCAUGCAGGGGGUUCUCAGUCUGCAGCCUCGUGUGUUUAAAACAGAGCAAGUGAGGAGGUUCUCCGCGCGGCUCAAGGUGAAGUUUCCACAGGAGUGCCCGACUCCCGAUGACGGCCAGAGUGUGCCCGUGUCGCUGCUCUGGUUGUAUGACACGGCAUGGGCGGCCGCGGCGGCAGCUGAGGUCUCCUUUGGAACGGCACAACGGAAGUCGUCAUUUCUCGACGCUCUGCUCGUUACCAAGUUCGACGGUCUGGCCGGAAGGUUCAGGCUUGUUGACGGGCAACGGCAGGUCUCGGCAUAUGAGAUCGUCAAUAUCAGCGGCAAAGGCUCAAGGACUGUCGGUUUCUGGACGCCGGAGUUCGGCAUCUCGACGAACCUGUACUCUACUAGAGGAAGGAAAAAGCUGAAGCAGAUCCUUUGGCCAGGAAAGACAGCGGCUGUACCGACCGGGUUGAGCGAGUCACCGCCGCUUCGUGUCGCGGUGCCGGGAUGGGACUUGUUCGGCGGCGGCCAAUUCGUGAACUUUACCCACGGCCACGAUCCAAGCAGCGGCACCGGAAGAGCGACGGGGUACUGCAUAGAGGUGUUCGAGGCGGCCAUGGAGAGACUGGGAUACUCGUUUGCUGAUUACACCUACGUCCUAUAUAGGGCCGAAGAGGCACCGUCAACCGCCCAGUCGGUACGAUCAUACAUCGAACUUGUGAAACAGGUGUACGACAAGAAAGUCGAUGCGGUGGUUGGGGACGUGACGAUCACUGCGGCCAGGAUGAAUCUGGUUGACUUCACGACGCCGUUCACUGACACGGGUUACUCCAUGAUCGUGCCCAAGGAGGACAGCAGCAAGAGCAUGUGGAUCUUCGUGAAGCCGCUAACUCCAGAGCUCUGGUUCACCUCCCUUGCCUUCUUCCUAUUCACCGGCUUCGUCGUGUGGACGAUCGAGCACAGGAUCAACCCUCGAUUCCGCGGCACACCCUGGAAGCAAUUCGGCGUCCUAUUCUACUUUGCAUUCUCAACCAUGGUUUUCUCCCACAAGGAGAAGUUGGAGAGCAACCUGUCGAAGCUGGUAGUGAUCAUGUGGGUUUUUGUCGUGCUCAUCCUCACGACAAACUACACGGCAAACCUGACGUCGAUGUUAACGGUGCGGCAGCUCCAGCCGACGAUGAACGACUGGACGGAGAGCGACUACGUGGGCUUUCAGGAUGGUUCCUUAGUCGAAGACAUCCUCAAGAACAUGGGCUUCCAGGACGCAAAGUUCAGGAGGUACUCCACCAUGGAAGAAUACGCCGACGCCCUCCGCAAAGGGUCGGGCAACGGAGGAGUCAGUGCGAUCUUCGACGAGGUGCCCUACCUGAAGCUCUUCCUGUCGCGCUACUGCGAAGGCUACUCCAUGGUCAGCCCGAUCUACAAAAGUGGCGGGUUUGGAUUUGCUUUCCCGGUGGGAUCUCCGCUGGUGGCGGACGUGUCGGGCGCCAUUCUGGAGAUGCAGCAGGACGGCAUGCUUACACGCAUCGAGAACAAGUGGUUCACCCACCCCGGGGCGUGCGUGAGGAUGAGGAAGGACGUCGACAACACUAGGCUCGAGCUACGGAGGUUCCGCGGACUGUUCCUCGUCAACGCAGUCGUCUCGUGCCUCAUGCUCCUCAUCCACCUCGCCACGUUCGUCUCCUGGAAGAGUGUAUGCCGAUGGCUGCGCUCAUGGCUUCCGCGCUUGGACGCCUCCGAAGGCCGGGGAGGCGAGCCUGUGGGCAACGGCCAGGGAACGGUGGAGCUGAGUCGUCUGCAGGGUCUGGCCACCGGAGCCGAAGAUCAGCAGCAAGCAGCCACGGGGGACUCUCACUCUACUCCCGCCGAUGGCACCGAUUCCGAGGGAAACGCAGCUUCUGCCCAUGUCCCGGAGGAACCCGUUGGGGGUAACUCUACAACGCAGUCCCCCCAUGAACCUGCACCAGCAGUUGCGUCCAUGUAA